GUGGGGAAUCUUCCACAAUGGACGAAAGUCUGAUGGGGCAACGCCGCGUGAGUGAAGAAGGGUUUCGGCUCGUAAAGCUCUGUUGUCGGGGACGAAUGUGCAGUAUUUGAAUAAAGUACUGUAAUGACGGUACCUGACGAGGAAGCCACGGCUAACUACGUGCCAGCAGCCGCGGUAAUACGUAGGUGGCAAGCGUUGUCCGGAAUUAUUGGGCGUAAAGGGAGCGCAGGCGGGAAGGUAAGUCGGUCUUAAAAGUGCGGGGCUCAACCCCGUGAUGGGAUCGAAACUAUCUUUCUUGAGUGCAGGAGAGGAAAGUGGAAUUCCUAGUGUAGCGGUGAAAUGCGUAGAUAUUAGGAGGAACACCAGUGGCGAAGGCGACUUUCUGGACUGUAACUGACGCUGAGGCUCGAAAGCCAGGGGAGCGAACGGGAUUAGAUACCCUUGUAGUCC
rnacentral:rRNA from 1 species